UGUAUUCACUACUGUAAGUCGCUCUGGAUAAGAGCAUCUGCUAAAUGACAAAAA
rfam:Salmo salar isolate Sally breed double haploid chromosome ssa01, whole genome shotgun sequence.